AGAGUUUGAUCAUGGCUCAGGAUGAACGCUAGCUACAGGCUUAACACAUGCAAGUCGAGGGGAAACGACAUCGAAAGCUUGCUUUUGAUGGGCGUCGACCGGCGCACGGGUGAGUAACGCGUAUCCAACCUGCCCACCACUUGGGGAUAACCUUGCGAAAGUAAGACUAAUACCCAAUGAUAUCUCUAGAAGACAUCUGAAAGAGAUUAAAGAUUUAUCGGUGAUGGAUGGGGAUGCGCCUGAUUAGCUUGUUGGCGGGGUAACGGCCACCAGGCGACGAUCAGUAAGGGUUCUGAGAGGAAGGUCCCCCANAUUGGAACUGAGACACGGUCCAAACUCCUACGGGAGGCA
rnacentral:rRNA from 1 species